GGGUUUCGACAUCUUAUGCAAGCAGGUGUUUAUAUUAUAUUUUUAUCCUUACAUGUUAAUGAUACGUAUUUUGGUAUUUUCCGAAAAUGCUAUUUAUAAUUCACUUGGAAAUACCAAGAUUUUUUUUAUCUUUAUAUACUUGUAGUUGGUGCUUUUCUUCAUUUCAAGCUACAGGACUUGUUUCAUUGACGUACAUUUGAGAGCAACCUAACUGGCUUCAGUAUCAACAGUAUGUCUCUUAGUACACCCGGAUCACUGCUUGGUGUCGAAACAGCCGGUACACAGAUCGACAGGGUAAACAGAUGUCUGAGUGAAAGGAGACCAGGUGACAUGAUUAGGAUAGCGCGUAUAGGAUUUCUACACUACGCCAUUUACAUAGGAAAUAACAAGAUCGUCGAUUUCGUUGAUACUAAAGGUGGUGGUGAGGUCAGUACACGUGAUCUGUAUGACACUGUUGGUAGCAGUGCAUGUGCAGUCGACAAUUACUUGGAUAAGAAGCUAGGUCACUAUUCAGAAGACGAGAUUGUGCAGAGGGCAUGGAUGGAAACACUGCAAAAACAUACAUACAAGCUUGGAACAUACAACUGUGAACAUUUUGCAACAUGGUGUCGGUACGGGAUCAAAUACUGUCGCCAGCCGUGUUUAGUGGCUGCCAGCCUCGGAGUGAAUAGAUCAUAGAUUUAUUCUCGGACCUUUCACCACUGUGAAAAACUGCUCAGUUUGACUUAAUCUAUAAGUCGAUCAAGGAAUCUCAAGCGAUACGAAUCUGGUGAAAACCAAUAAGCAACAAAAGAAUUGUCUAAGCAUAAUGUCGUUCAGGAAAACACUACUUAAUAUCAGAGAUAGCAGUUGUGAGAAAAUGUUUGAAGUAACAGAAAAAUAUGUAUCUGAUAUUUAGUGAAAAUAUAUGUACAGCAAGAGUAAUCCUAGUAAAUAGAAAUGCAACUUCAUUCAAUUGAUCAGAUGUGUCAGUAGGUAGGGAUAUCGAUAGGUGACACUCAGUUUGGCUUUAAGAGAAAUAUGUCAACAGUUGAUGCUUUAUUUGCUUUUCAGACUUUAAUUAGUAAGACACUUAGAAACAAAAAGAAAUUCUAUUGCUGUUUUAUAGACUAUAAGAAGGCAUUUGAUUUUGUUAACAGACAGAAUUUAUUAUUUAAACUAAUUAAAGAAGGCGUGACUGGUAAAAUGUUGACUAUCAUAGGUCUUUGUACAAUGAUGUGAAAUAUUGUUUGCAACAUAAUAUCAUGACAGAGUUUUUCAAUUUCAAAAACAGAUUAUUUCAAGGGGAAAGUUUGUUAAACAGUCAAUACAGAUAAAACUUAGGUGUUAGUUUUUAGAAAUGGGGGGUGGGGAUUAAGGACAAGCAAUAAAUGGUUUUAUAAUGGCCAUGAACUGGAAGAUGUUGAUUACUUUAAUGACUUGGAUGUCUUGUUACAUUUCAACAGAAAACUCAGGAAAAAAAAAAACAAGAAAAAAUACUAUUAGCCGAACAAGGUAAAAAGGCACUUUCCGCUGCAAAUAUAAAUAUUUGCGGAAAACAUAGACCAAUUGUAGUCAGAUUUAUCAUCUUAUAAAAAAUCUAAGUACUAAUAUUAUAUAAUUGAUUGAUCAUAUUCCUUAUCUAAACCAUGUACACCAAAACUAGCAGACAUCUGAUGCCAAGGAAUCAUACCAUAAGUCUCUUCUAUGUUCUGUAUUGAUAAAAACCAAAAGGAUUUAGCAUUCCCAGAAAUGAUGCAAAAUUGUUUCCCUACUAUCAAAACAAAAUGUACAUCUCUCUGAUGCUACUAACGGCACAGCAUUAGUUUGGUAUUGGUAUAUAUAUAUAUAUAAUUCUAUGUAACAUUUUGAAUUGAAAGUUUUGUAAUUUUGUCUCGUCUGUAAUACUUCAUGGGAGUAAAGAGAAAUGUCUCCAUGUUUCCAGAGGUAUUUCACUUUGCAACAAUUUCUGCUAUUUCAAUUGCCUGGUUGCUGGCAAUCUUUUGAUUGAGUCAAUAAACAAAUUGUGAAAAUUC